rnacentral:rRNA from 1 species
CAGUAGCCGCGGGAAUACGAAGGUGGCUAGCGUUGUUCGGAUUUACUGGGCGUAAAGCGCACGUAGGCGGACUUUUAAGUCAGGGGUGAAAUCCCGGGGCUCAACCCCGGAACUGCCUUUGAUACUGGAAGUCUUGAGUAUGGUAGAGGUGAGUGUAAUUCCGAGUGUAGAGGUGAAAUUCGUAGAUAUUCGGAGGAACACCAGUGGCGAAGGCGGCUCACUGGACCAUUACUGACGCUGAGGUGCGAAAGCGUGGGGAGCAAACAGGAUUAGAUACCCGGGUAGUCCCUGUCUCUUAUAC